rnacentral:rRNA from 1 species
UUUAGUCAGGCAACGAGCGAGACCCACGCCCACAGUUGCCAGCGUACUCUCCGGAGUGACGGGUACACUGUGGGGACCGCCGCUGCUAAAGCGGAGGGAGGAAUGGGCAACGGUAGGUCAGUAUGCCCCGAAUAUCCCGGGCUACACGCGAGCUACAAUGGUUGGUACAAUGGGUAUCUACCCCGAAAGGGGAUGGAAAUCUCCUAAAGCCAAUCUUAGUUCGGAUUGAGGGCUGCAACUCGCCCUCAUGAAGCUGGAAUCCGUAGUAAUCGCGUUUCAACAGAACGCGGUGAAUACGUCCCUGCUCCUUGCACA